UGUAAGAGCAAACUAUACCCAGUUUAUGAUUUCUGCCCAGGCGUCUCUGAUGUUAGCAGCGAUUCACCUUUGACUUGGGACAGAAGGCAGCAAAAGUGGGCGGAUUCCCUUUUCGUGUCAGACUAGUGUGAUAAUCUCCUCCGAAGCCCGAGAGAUUCCCAGUGUUUGCGCCAACAAAUACAUGGCGAAAGGCUGAGGUAAAGAGGGCUCUCAUUCUAGAGUGUGGCCCCGUCCUUCUCACUCAUCUGAGUCAUCAAGAUGGCGUCCUGUGCUGGGGCUGACGGGCUCCAGAGAGCUAUGCAGGGCGCCUCUGGGAAGCCCCAGGGCACAAUGGCCAGGGUCCAUUUGGCCAGGUCAGCACUAGGCUAUAGAAUAAAAACCAUGUGAUUGAGGUCCUGCCUAGAGCCAAGUGUUCUCUGGCAGCAGCUGCAGAUCCACAUCUCCAAGAGGUAGGGUUUUAUUAAGUCUAAUGCAGAUGUAUUUGAAGAGUUAGCACAGCAGUUCUCAAUCAAUCUGUAGCCCUUUGGGGGGUGAGGGUCAAACAACCCUUUAGGCUCGCCUAAGACCAUCAGAAAACACAGAUAAUUAUGGUGGGGUCCCCACUGCAUGAGGAACUGUGUUAAAGCGUUACAGUGUCAGGAAGGUUGAGAAUCGCUGACUUAGUAGCUGAGAGACAGCUUAUCCCUGAUGGCUUUUGGGGUCAGAUACAUCCCCACUUGUGGUGUCCUGGACAGAUGGUGGGCCCUGCACUCC
rnacentral:lncRNA from 1 species